CAGCAGCCACGGGAACACGAAGGGUGCAAGCGAUACUCGGAAUUACUGGGCGUAAAGCGUGCGUAGGUGGUGGUUUAAGUCCGUUGUGAAAGCCCUGGGCUCAACCUGGGAAUUGCAGUGGAUACUGGGUCACUAGAGUGUGGUAGAGGAUAGUGGAAUUUCCGGUGUAGCAGUGAAAUGCGUAGAGAUCGGAAGGAACAUCUGUGGCGAAGGCGACUAUCUGGGCCAACACUGACACUGAGGCACGAAAGCGUGGGGAGCAAACAGGAUUAGAUACCCCUGUAGUCCCUGUCUCUUAUAC
rnacentral:rRNA from 1 species